UAGCUAGUUGGUGGGGUAAGGGCCUACCAAGGCGACGAUCGGUAGCUGGUCUGAGAGGAUGGCCAGCCACACUGGAACUGAGACACGGUCCAGACUCCUACGGGAGGCAGCAGUGGGGAAUAUUGGACAAUGGGGGCAACCCUGAUCCAGCAAUGCCGCGUGUGUGAAGAAGGCCUGAGGGUUGUAAAGCACUUUCAGUGGGGAGGAGGAUAAUUAGGUUAAGAGCUAGAUUAUUGGACGUUACCCACAGAAGAAGCACCGGCUAACUCCGUGCCAGCAGCCGCGGUAAUACGGAGGGUGCGAGCGUUAAUCGGAAUUACUGGGCGUAAAGGGUGCGUAGGUGGUUGAAUAAGUUAUCUGUAAAAUCCCUGGGCUUAACCUGGGCAGGUCAGAUAAUACUGUUUAACUCGAGUAUGGGAGAGGGUAGUGGAAUUUCCGGUGUAGCGGUGAAAUGCGUAGAGAUCGGAAGGAACACCAGUGGCGAAGGCGGCUACCUGGCCUAAUACUGACACUGAGGCACGAAAGCGUGGGGAGCAAACAGGAUUAGAUACCCUGGUAGUCCACGCUGUAAACGAUGUCAACUAGCUGUUGGUUAUAUGAAAAUAAUUAGUGGCGC
rnacentral:rRNA from 1 species